rnacentral:rRNA from 1 species
CUACGGGAGGCAGCAGUGGGGAAUUUUCCGCAAUGGGCGAAAGCCUGACGGAGCAAUACCGCGUGAGGGAAGACUGCCUAUGGGUUGUAAACCUCUUUUUUCAGGGAGGAAUAAAUGACGUGUACCUGAAGAAUAAGCAUCGGCUAACUCCGUGCCAGCAGCCGCGGUAAGACGGAGGAUGCAAGUGUUAUCCGGAAUCACUGGGCGUAAAGCGUCUGUAGGUGGUUUAAUAAGUCAACUGUUAAAUCUUGAGGCUCAACUUCAAAAUCGCAGUCGAAACUAUUAGACUAGAGUAUAGUAGAGGUAAAGGGAAUUUCCAGUGGAGCGGUGAAAUGCGUAGAUAUUGGAAAGAACACCGAUGGCGAAAGCACUUUACUGGGCUAUUACUAACACUCAGAGACGAAAGCUAGGGUAGCAAAUGGGAUUAGAUACCCCAGUAGUCCUAGCCGUAAACUAUGGAUACUAGAUGUUGAACAGAUCGACCUGUGCAGUAUCAAAGCUAACGCGUUAAGUAUCCCGCCUGGGAAGUAUGCUCGCAAGAGUGAAACUCAAAG